GACGAACCGUGCGAAUGUUGUUCGGAAUCACUGGGCUUAAAGGGAGCGUAGGCGGGCUAUCAAGUCUGGGGUGAAAUGCCACGGCUCAACCGUGGAACUGCCUUAGAUACUGACGGCCUCGAGGGAGAUAGGGGCAUGCGGAACUGUAGGUGGAGCGGUGAAAUGCGUUGAUAUCUACAGGAACUCCGGUGGCGAAAGCGGCGUGCUGGAUCUCUUCUGACGCUGAGGCUCGAAAGCUAGGGGAGCAAACGGG
rnacentral:rRNA from 1 species